UAAGACGAACCGUGCGAACGUUGUUCGGAAUCACUGGGCUUAAAGGGCGCGUAGGCGGGCUACCAAGUCUGUGGUGAAAUCCUCCAGCUUAACUGGAGAACGGCCGUGGAUACUGGGAGCCUCGAGGGAGAUAGGGGCAGGCGGAACUGAUGGUGGAGCGGUGAAAUGCGUUGAUAUCAUCAGGAACUCCGGUGGCGAAGGCGGCCUGCUGGAUCUCAUCUGACGCUGAGGCGCGAAAGCCAGGGGAGCAAACGGGAUUAGAUACCCCGGUAGUCCUGGCCCUAAACGAUGAGUACUAGGUAGUAGGCCAGACAUGGGCUUACUGCCGGAGCAAAAGUGCUAAGUACUCCGCCUGGGGAGUAUGGUCGCAAGGCUGAAACUCAAAUGAAUUGACGG
rnacentral:rRNA from 1 species